GCACAUAUCCCGGGGCGCCGCAUAAGCGCGCUCAGGAGAAGUGGAUCCCGGUUUUCCGUCCGAGCGCGCGCUUACUUUUAAGUCGUCGCCUUCCGGGCGCCGAACCGGUUCCCACUUCGCCUGAAUGCGACCAGCGGCUGAGAUUGAGCAUCCCGCUCUGACCCGUCGAACCUGAACCGGUUAGCACCGGCGGAGGGAGGAGCAAUUACAUGGGU
rnacentral:ncRNA from 1 species